CAGAGUAGGAACAGCGCGCUGGCCGCAGGCCUGGAGUGACGUGGAAUGGGAAGUUGUCCACGGACGAAACAUUUAAUGUGCGGUGCUGUUUCCGCUUCCGCUGC
rnacentral:ncRNA from 1 species